AUGGCUCAGGAUGAACGCUAGCUACAGGCUUAACACAUGCAAGUCGAGGGGCAGCAUGAGAUUAGCUUGCUAAUCUUGAUGGCGACCGGCGCACGGGUGCGUAACACGUAUCCAAUCUACCCAUGGCUCGGGGAUAGCCUUUCGAAAGAAAGAUUAAUACCCGAUGGUCUGCGAUUGAGACAUCUCGAUUGCAGUAAAGACUUGUCGGCGAUGGAUGGGGAUGCGUCCGAUUAGCUAGUUGGCGGGGUAACGGCCCACCAAGGCGACGAUCGGUAGGGGUUCUGAGAGGAAGGUCCCCCCACACUGGAACUGAGACACGGUCCAGACUCCUACGGGAGGCAGCAGUGAGGAAUAUUGGUCAAUGGGCGAUGGCCUGAACCAGCCAAGUAGCCGUGAGGGAUGACGGCCCUACGGGUUGUAAACCUCUUUUGUAUGGGAAUAAAGUGAGGCACGUGUGCCCUUUUGUAUGUACCUUACGAAUAAGCAUCGGCUAAUUCCGUGCCAGCCGCCGC
rnacentral:rRNA from 1 species